rnacentral:rRNA from 1 species
GAUGAACGCUGGCGGCGUGCCUAAUACAUGCAAGUCGAGCGAACAGAUGAGGAGCUUGCUCCUCUGACGUUAGCGGCGGACGGGUGAGUAACACGUGGAUAACCUACCUAUAAGACUGGGAUAACUACGGGAAACCGGAGCUAAUACCGGAUAAUAUAUUGAACCGCAUGGUUCAAUAGUGAAAGACGGUUUUGCUGUCACUUAUAGAUGGAUCCGCGCCGCAUUAGCUAGUUGGUAAGGUAACGGCUUACCAAGGCAACGAUGCGUAGCCGACCUGAGAGGGUGAUCGGCCACACUGGAACUGAGACACGGUCCAGACUCCUACGGGAGGCAGCAGUAGGGAAUCUUCCGCAAUGGGCGAAAGCCUGACGGAGUAACGCCGCGUGAGUGAUGAAGGUCUUCGGAUCGUAAAACUCUGUUAUUAGGGAAGAACAAAUGUGUAAGUAACUAUGCACGUCUUGACGGUACCUAAUCAGAAAGCCACGGCUAACUACGUG